AGUGGCGGACGGGUGAGUAACGCGUGGGAACCUGCCUGGUGGUUGGGGAUAACUGCGGGAAACUGCAGCUAAUACCCGAUGCGCCCCCGGAGCGAUCCGGGGGGAAAGAUUGAUCGCCAUCGGAGGGGCCCGCGUCGGAUUAGGUAGUCGGUGGGGUAACGGCCUACCAAGCCUUCGAUCCGUAGCUGGUCUGAGAGGAUGAUCAGCCACACUGGGACUGAGAUACGGCCCAGACUCCUACGGGAGGCAGCAGUGGGGAAUAUUGGACAAUGGGCGCAAGCCUGAUCCAGCAAUGCCGCGUGAGUGAAGAAGGCCUUAGGGUUGUAAAGCUCUUUCGGCGAGGACGAUGAUGACGGUACCCGCAGAAGAAGCCCCGGCUAACUCCGUGCCAGCAGCCGCGGUAAUACGGAGGGGGCUAGCGUUGUUCGGAGUUACUGGGCGUAAAGGGCGCGUAGGCGGCUUUGCAAGUCAGGUGUGAAAGGCCCGGGCUCAACCCGGGGACGGCGCUUGAGACUGCUGGGCUUGGAGUCCGGGAGAGGAUGGUGGAAUUCCCAGUGUAGAGGUGAAAUUCGUAGAUAUUGGGAAGAACACCGGUGGCGAAGGCGGCCAUCUGGACCGGUACUGACGCUGAGGCGCGAAAGCGUGGGGAGCAAACAGGAUUAGAUACCCUGGUAGUCCACGCCGUAAACGAUGCGUGCUAGACGUUGGGGGGCAUGCCCUUCGGUGUCGCAGCUAACGCGGGAAGCACGCCGCCUGGGGAGUACGGUCGC
rnacentral:rRNA from 1 species